UACGGAGGAUGCGAGCGUUAUCCGGAUUUAUUGGGUUUAAAGGGUGCGUAGGCGGCCUGCCAAGUCAGCGGUAAAAUUGCGGGGCUCAACCCCGUACAGCCGUUGAAACUGCCGGGCUCGAGUGGGCGAGAAGUAUGCGGAAUGCGUGGUGUAGCGGUGAAAUGCAUAGAUAUCACGCAGAACCCCGAUUGCGAAGGCAGCAUACCGGCGCCCGUCUGACGCUGAGGCACGAAAGUGCGGGGAUCAAACAGG
rnacentral:rRNA from 1 species